GACGCAUCCACGGUGCACUUGGAGCCGCUCAGCUGGACGCCGCUCUCAGCCUCGGACAGGACGGCCUGAGGGUAGAGGAGGGAGGCAGAAGGAGGCCGCAGAGCUAGGAACCGUGGGGUUGGCUGGGCAAAGACGCCUAGGCGAGGCUGGGGGCCGCCUCAUCCCAAAUGCUGCCUCCUACAAGAAGCCUUCCUGAUUUCACCUCCUCCACUAACUCAGCCCUCAGCUCGCCGCUGAGGCCUCCCGUUUAUUGCAAAGACAUCAUUUGGCAUUGCUCACAGGUGGGCUCCGAAAGGGCCGUGCCUCCCCUCUGAGACUGGGGGCUCCCCAGGGCAGGGGCCAGGUGAGUUAGCAGGGGUGCUGAGCAGCUACAGCCUGGGUCCCAGGCCCCCACCCAUUUGCAGUUCAGUCCCAGGCCACCGAAAGGCGUGGCGAGGGAGCCCGGGGUUUCCUGGCAGGGCCCUGUCUUCCCACCUCUCUGGGCUCACACCUGUGCCAGGUCCCUUAGGCUCUGCUGUAGCUCCUCUCCGUCCUCUGUCUCCAGGGCCGCCUGCUCCUGUAGCCACAGGGAUUCCUGGAGUGCGGUGAGGGAGACAAAGGGUAGUCGGGGUUCUGUCUUAUCUGAAACCUCCCCUUCCCCUCCCUCCCUGGCCCACCACUGACCAGGUGGCCUCUGAAGCCAUGUCCAUAGGCCAGCCACCUGGUAGACCCCACAGCAGGCCCGAGACCCUCACUGAACAGACUAGGCCCAGAGAAGAGCUGUGUUCUGCCCCAGGUCACACAGUUGAUGGGAGGAGACCCGGACCUAGAACCCAGGUCAGGCCCCAGACAGGGGGGUGACCAAACCAGGCUGUACCCCCGAAGAGUGAGUGUCCCACUGGUCGGGGGAGGGGGUGAGGGGAAGCUGGGUUGCCAGAGGCAGCAUCUGGACCUGGAGACAGUGGAUGGGAGUUCAAGUCCCGACUCUCCCGCUUACUGGCUCUGAGACUGGACAAGCAUUUCCCCUCUUGGGCCUCAGUUUCCCCAUCUGUGUCAUGAGGAUUGCGCUACAGGGCUGCUGUGAGGAAGAAAUGGGAUGGAGGAGGUGAGUGUGCUUACCACAAAGCCUGCACACCUGUGAGGGCUGAACCUGCGUGUGAGUGGGACGCUGGGGGUGGCCCAGGCAGCCCAGCCCUAAGCCUGUGUCCAUGGAUCUGUCCGGUACCCCAUCCCACACUGCCACAUCUCAGGGGCAGCUGCAGCUCACCAGGGCCUCAAGCUUCUUGGUGAGGUCCUUGUUGACCUGAUCCUUCUCCAGAUUCUGCUUCUGAAGACGCUCCACUGCCAGGCCCAGCUCUGUCACUCUGGAGUUGGGGGAACAGCAGAGCCCUGGGAGGACCCCGGGUGGACAGAGUCCUUACAAUUUAGGAGAUGCUGCUGGCAAAGGAACUGUUGACCCAAAGCAGGUGGCCUGAAUGGGAAGUGCCAGGCUGGACACUUGGGGGCUGAGGGCACUGCCAGCUGCCGCCGCCUCUGGACACCUCAGCCCGGCGCUGGCCCGAGAGGAGACUGCUUUCCAAAUGCAGCGAAGAGACUGAGACAAGACCCGUGCUUCCGUGACGCAGCUACCUCUGUGGAGCAGGUUUGGGAUGCUCAUCCCUUGACAGUCUUGGGUGGACCUGUCGUCUGUCCUGUUUUAUCCCCCACACACCCCAAGAGGCCUCCCCGUGGCCACCACCGCCACUACCACUUCUCAAUGAUGUGGCUCAUGUAGUCCUCGGUGGGCACGCGGCCCGGCUCGUCGGCGUCCUCCCGCGGCAGCGCCUCCUUGGCCCGGUGCAGCAGACGCUCCUCGCGGCUCCUCAGGUCGUUGAGCUCCUCGAUGCGCCGGAUGGUGUCCUCAUCCAC
rnacentral:lncRNA from 10 species